CUGCCCGGGCCCGGCGCGCGAUGGCGGCGGCGGCGCGAGUUGGCAGUGUCCCUGUGUGAAACCUGCCCCAGAUGACCCACUGGCUUCUGAACUACAGCUGCGAAACAUACGCUGCCUGAUUCAAAGGGGAAUGGCCAGAGACACUCUGCCCAAGUAGAGCUUUCAACAGUGAAGUUCUUGGACUGUUUUGCUUGUGGACAGACGAUAAAGUGAUGGAUUCUAGUGUAACCUGUGUCUCUCCUGAACUGUGUAACCUGUUUCAAACCAGCUGUAUUUAAAACAUUGCUUAAUGGCAGUGUUAUUGUCUAACUCUCCCUGCUGCACCUGGGAGGAGCUUUUCCUGGUGGUUUCCUAGUCUGAUCUGAGUGACAAUGAAGAACUCUGAUUUGUAUCUUGCAGAUGCUGUUGACUAUGUUUGACAUUGCUGUCUAGCUCUCCUGAGGAGGAGUGGCAGGAGCUAGCAGGAUGGCAGAAGUUGCUGUAGAAGGACGUGAUGAGGGACAACGACAAGACUUUGAUCUCACUGGGCGUCCUGUCAGCAAACCAGACAUUGUGUCCCUGAUUGAACGUGAGGAAGAGCCAUGUGUCUGGGCUCACCAGGAUUUGAGGGAAAGAGACUUUUCUAAAGGGGUUUCCUCUGCAGAUGAUGGAAUCAAGUGGAAGACUGAAGAGAAUCAUCAGCAGGGAAAUUCUGAGGGUUUGGCAGAGCACAGGAAUUUAUCACAAAGAGAGAAAGCAAAUAGCUCUGAUGAGGGAAAUACGUAUGAGGGUGAACACAAGCCAGCCGGCCAACACAGGAACGCAGGGGAUGAGAGCGUGGAGAAAUCCACUCCAAAUGAAAGACCUUUCAGCAAAUGCCAAAACAUUCCUAUCCGCACAGGAGAGAGACCCCAUAAAUGUACUGAGUGUGACAAAAGCUUCACUCGCCGCUCCCAUCUUCUUCAGCACCAGAGAAUCCACACGGGGGAGAGGCCUUAUAAAUGUACCGAGUGUGAGAAAAGCUUCAGACAGAGAUCAGAGCUGAUCGAUCAUCAGCGAACGCAUACUCAAGAGAAACCCUACAAAUGUGACAAGUGUGGGAAAAGGUUCAUUCGGAGCACACGGCUUAUUCAGCAUCAAAAUGUUCACAAUGGAGUGAAACCCCACAAGUGCCCCCAGUGUGAGAAAAGUUUUAGCUGGAUCUCAUCAGUUAUUAAACACCAGAGAGUCCAUACAGGUGAGAAACCCUAUAAAUGCCCCGACUGUGAGAAAACCUUCAGCUGGAGCUCGACCCUUAUAAAGCAUCGGAGACUCCACACAGGAGAGAGACCCUAUAAAUGCCCUACCUGCACAAAGUGUUUUGUACAGAGUGCAAAUCUUAUUAAACAUCAGAGAGUCCACACAGAACAGAAACGCUAUACAUGUGGGGAAUGUGAGGAAACCUUUCUGAUCAGGUCUCAUUUCAUUCUGCAUCAGAGAAUGCACGCAGGAGAGGAACUCUACAAGUGUGAUGGCUGUGAGGAGUGGUUUGGUCUUGUCUCGGACCUUCAUAAACAUCAGAAGAGCCACACAGGAAAGAAGCCCUAUAAAUGCUCCGAAUGCGACAAAAGCUUCAACAAGAGUUCAAAUCUUAUUAAGCAUCAGAGAAUCCACACGGGAGAGAGACCCUAUAAGUGUCCCGACUGUGACAAAAGCUUCAUUCAGAGCUCUCACCUGAUGCUCCAUCAGAGAGCGCACAGGGGAGAAAAACCCUACAAAUGCCUGGACUGUGAGAAAAGUUUCCACCAGAGCUCCCAUCUCAUUCAGCACCAGAGAGUCCACACGCAAGAAAAGCCCUUUAAAUGUCCUGAGUGUGAGAGAAGUUUCAGCCGAAGCUCGGUGCUAAAUAAACACAAACUUAUCCACGUGGGAGACGAGAGCUAUAAAUGCAGCCAGUGUGAGGAAACCUUCAAUAGCAACUCCCGCCUUCUUCAGCACAAGAGAACCCACCACGUGGAAAGACCUUACACAUGCCCUAGCUGUGAGAAGAGUUUCAGUCGCAGUUCGCAGCUUAUGCUCCAUCAGAAAAACCACGCAGCAGAGAAACCUUACAAGUGUGCUGACUGUGACAAAGGCUUCAUUUACAGCUCACAUCUAAUUCAACAUCAGAGAACUCACACUAGAGAGCGACCUUAUAAAUGUCAAGUGUGUGAGAAAAGCUUCAUUCAGAGCUCACAUCUCCUUCAGCAUCAGAAAAUCCACACGGGAGAGAGACCUUUUAGAUGCAGUGAUUGUGAGAAAACCUUCAAUCGGAGCUCCAAUCUUAUUAAACACCAGAGAACUCACACCAGGGUGAACCUGUAAGAGAUGCUUCCAUAUGAACUCCACGCUCUUGACUAUAAGAGUAUUCACACACAAGGAAAAUCCUAUAAAUAUUCCAUGGGUGUUGAUGAAAUAGCCUUUUUUUUUCUUGUCAUGGAGGCUUUUUCAUCUGUGAUUGGUGGUGCUGGAACUGAUCAUUUGUCCCUGGAGAUCUCAACUACUGUAACUACGCAGGCCCAGGGAAUCUACAACGCUGAGAAAUGGGUCUGAGGAAAGCUUCCUUUGUUCGUUCAGCAGGAAAGUUGGAGAACCAACAAGAUAGGAGCACCUGGGGUAAGCUGAUCAAACAGUGCAGGAGAAAGGUCCAUGUGCAGUCAGCCAGGUCCUCCUCUCUAGGAUCCGUCUGGAGUUCAUCUCUUGUAUGACCCUUGGGUGUGGAGCCCAGCCUUCCCAAAUGCAUUCCCCCCGCCCCCCCCGCUUUCUGUCUCCCAGGAAGCCAGUCUUACAGCCCCUCCUCUGAACACCUGGGCAGCAGGACGGGGAAGCUGAGGAGACGUUAACCAUUAUUUACUUGGGAGCAGGUAAGGCCCCUGCACCUCGUCACACCCUGUAAGUAGGCUCAGUGCUGAGUCGGACCAGAAAUCCCAAAUCAGUGGAGGCUGGUUUGGAAACCUCUCAGACUGUUUUGGGGUUUGCAGAGUUCACAAAGCUAAUUUUCCCUAGAAAUUGAAGCCUCGUUGCCUGUAGAAAAAGCCAGUCUGAGCCUGUGUAUCCUGUCCAUUCUGUAUAUUGGGAUUGGCUUCUUACUGGGCAUUCUCUGUAACCCCCUUUUUUUAGUCUUCCUCUAUGAGAGGGGCAUUGAACCCUAUAACAUUGUUGGCCCUGUUUAACCCCAGCAGCUAGUGAAAGUUUGGGGCCUUGGGGAUGUUCCAGCUGGGAAUAGAAACUGAUGGAAUCUGGUAUUUUCUUUGAUGCCAUCUUGUUUAUUUACAAGGAAUGUGUACGAAGUCCUGCUUCUCCAAAUGCAGGAGGAACUAAAAGAGGAGGUGGCUUCUUUGCUUAUAGCCCAAAGCCUCUUUAGUCAGCACCAGCCCCAAAAGCUUGCGCUGUCUAGCUUCUUCCUGGGUCACGUCAUGCUUACAGGCUUCUGCUUGGUCUUCUCUAGUCUCUCCCUCUCUUAUGUCCUUCUAUUUCAGACUAUUCCUUUUCCUUUCUUGUGCUAUGCUAGAUUGAGAGAAAAAUGGCAAACCUUUCCCUUACUUACCCCUUAGCAUGAGUUAUGCCUGCUCAGUGCCGUACACCCUGUCACCCAUCACUUCUGAACUUUGUCUUCUUAGUCUAUAAGGGCCUGUUUUCAUUGCAAAGUUAGCCUAGGUGCUUACUCAGAUGUUGCCCCAGCUCCCCACUCAUCCACACCAAACCCUUUCAACUGAGUUUGGUGGCACUCUAAACGCAGGGCAUCUGGCACUGCCGGGUUGUGGGCUAAAGCCAAGAUGCUGCUUUACACUCAGGCUGGAGCUCCUUUACUUUGCUGUGUGGACACGGGCUAACCCACUCGAGUGCUGAUGGCUAAGGCUAUGAUUUUGGCGUGGAAAUUUUUAGUAGAUUUCACAGCAGAGGUUCAGGAAAAACAUCCAAAGUCCUAGAAAGAUAACCAAACAAUGUAGUUUUUGCUGCAUCAAUGUACACAAGAGCUUUUAAGUAGUAAAAGUGUCUGAUAUUAACACACUGAUCAAUAAUAUAUGUACAAUUAAAAUCAAUAAUUUACUCCUGGGGGAAUUCUGCAACAGAAAGUUAAUUCUACACACAAUAUUUUAAAAUUCUGCAUCUUUUAUUUGUCAAAACACCACACUAUAAUCACAACAGUUUCAAUUAUUUUUGGUCAUUUAUUUCAAAAUACCUGUCAGCAAGUAGGUCUAUACCCAACCAAAAAAAUUCAGGAACUGGAUUUUGACAAAUAGCUUCCUUACUAGGCAUAUUAAUACAGACCUGAGUACUAACUCCUUUAAAGCCUGGCUCACAGCUGUUAGGAGAAUGUGAAGUAAAUAGGGUAAAAAUUAAACAAUAAUAAUCUUGCUUCUGGCCUUGCUUUUAAUUUAAACAGGCUGAAUAAGCAAGCAAGAGAAUGUAAGUGAAAGCAGAAGGCUGCACACACCCACACCCCGUGAAGCUGCUAGCCUUGCCUUUCAGUAACAAGAGAAAAUAAGGGGACCUCAUCAAGCAAGGGGUUGCUAUGGUAAUGAAGCAGCUGGAGUGGAGGGGAAGGUGUAAGGAAGAGACAUGGAGUCAGCAAGAAAGUGACCAUGGCCAAAAGUAACCCAUCUCCUUACACCUCCCAUUGGGUACAAAAGAGGUGGUCUUCCUGACCCAAGACCCCCCAGAAUGGAACAUGACCAUAUAUUGGAAGGGGUGGCACCAGGGAAGGGGCACUACAUUCAGCCUCUGCCUCAGUCUCUCCUCCUCGACUAGCCCUUAUGAUCCCCUGUCUGACCCUUCCCCCCCGCCCCCAUAUACUGUUUCCCUAUAGCCCCUGUUUCCUGACCUGGUCUGGUAGGUGCUAUGAAGAAGGCAGGCUCUUUCUCUUCCCUAGCUGGCCAGGAGCUGCUGCUGUGGCCUAUGGCCAAAGCGCUCUCUGGUGGGCAAAAGGCAGAACUGCACCAACAUUUCAGCAGAAGCUUUUUUCUGUGCUAAAAACAUGCAUGGCUCAUUAAUUAUGUGCAUGCACAGUAGCAAAGAAUUUCCCCAGGAGUAAAUAAUAUAAAGACUACUGCCAAGUUUAACUGUUACUUCAGAGUACAUCAUGGUGGUUGUACUUAGUUUUCCACAACUGUGAAAUAGAAUGUUGUACACUGUGAGAUUGGCAUCCUUGAUUCCACAUUUGCCAUCUUGCAAGACAAGAAGAGAACAAAAGUAAAGGACUCUCUACCUUUCACCACCAUAUACAUUUCGACCGGUUUCCAGGCCUCGUUCCAGCUCUCAUUUUUGAACAUUUAAGCUUUGGGCAUCGUGGCCAUUUGGGAUUUUUUUUCAUUUUUUGGGGGCACAUUACGGCUGCCUGUGUGUUUUUCACAUUUACAGCCCUUUAAAAAAAAUUAGGGUUAGAAAUAACAUUUUUCAGAAGAAAGCAGGCUUUUAAAACAUUUAGGGCCUUUUAAAUAAAGUUUAGUAAACAGAGAA